GCAAUACCACCAUUUGAGCAAGCUCCUCAGCUUUUGCUAUCCGCCAUUGAGAAAGCUCCUUAGAUGCAAGCUCCUCUGCAGUCAUAGAGCAAAGUCUCUCAGGGGGAAUUUCUCCUGACAUAACUCUCUCUCUCAAUUCAGGAUUAUUACGAUCCUUCAAAUUGAAUAAUAGAGACCUGCCCUUCUCCUUAUACUUCUUGUUUACUCCACCAAAUAAUUUGUAGAGUUCUGCUUCGAUUUUAGUAGCCAAAAUUUGGGGUGAUGGAGCUGCUUGUCCUUCACUGUCCAUGCAGAGAACCUCUGGAUUUGUCUGUUUCUGGGCAAUUCCAACGUCCUUUUUUUCUUCCAUCUUCACAGGUUCCAAUACCCAGGAUAGCCCAUUUCCCUGUAAAAGUUCAUCUUUGACAAAAAAACUGUCACUAAAUGAAGCAUCCUCAUCACGUGAACAAAUAGUUGACUGACUGUCCUGGCCAUCAUUUUUUGAGGUCUGCAUAGAAUCAACAGUAUUAUUAGAAGAAAUUUCUUGAGAUAUAUAUUGAACAGCACUACACUGUUGGGCUAAAGGAUCCAUCUUGGUGGGCAAAGAUCCCCUGCAUUCUUCAGACACAUCAGCAGUACCAGAAGUUUGUUCAGAAGGUUGGGAAUUUUCCUGUAUUGGUCCUGCAGCAGCAGCCUCAUUUUUAUCCUUCUUCUGAGAAACCAAAGCUAGUGCAGUUGCUAAUGACUCUCUUAGCUUAGAUCUUACAGACUCAGAUGACUCAUUUUGAACCUUUGGAGAUGGUUGUCCACUAUAAUUUCUCUGAAUUGAUGACUGCUGCAGACCAGCUUUGCUAGAAGUUGAUCUCUUAGACUGUGCUUGCGAACGCUGAGAACCAGAAGUGUUAGAAUUGGACUGCAAUUGCAUAUGCACUGGUAACUUAUUUGGUACAGACAUUUGCUGCAACCAUGGCCUAUGCUCCAUUUGUGCAGCCCGCUUGUUAGGCAUUGACAACUUCUGCAAUCCAGGAUUGUUGAAUAUGGGUUCGAUAGGUGCCUUUCGCUUACUCAACAUUGACGGCUGCUGGGAUCCCACAUUGUUCAACAAGGUUUCCAUCUCUCCCAGUUGCUUGCUAGGUAACAAGAACUGUUCUGAUGCCAGACUGUAUGCCUGUGGAUCCAUCUGUCCCACUUGCAUGUUUGAUCCUGAUAAUUUCUGCAAAACAUUAUUAUUAGGCAUAGUUUCAAAUGGCUGUGCUUGGUUGCUUGACACUGAUAUAUGUUGUGAUAGCGCAUCAGUGGGACCUGGCCCCAUCAUUCCCAUCUGCAUAUUUGGCAUUGACAUCUGCUGAAAUGCAGGACCAUUGAUCCCUUGUCCAAUUAUUCCCAUUUGUAUUGAUGAGUGUAAAUUGUUUGAAAUGGGUUCCAGCUGACCCAUUUGGAUGCCCUGCAUCGGCAAUUGCUGUGAUACAAGAUUGUUGGACAUGCUAGACUAACACCAUAACACAUGCGCACAUCACUACUAUUAUUUGGCCUAGGGUGAGGCGGUGGAUGGAGACCGGUAAAUGACCGGAGAUACGCCGGAGAUAAGAGUUGAAUAGCAAGUGUGAAUAGAAACAGAGUCGGGAACGGAAAUUCGUAUGCUAUUUUGGUUUGUUU
rnacentral:misc_RNA from 1 species